UCUACGGGGCGCAGCAGUGAGGAAUAUUGGUCAAUGGGCGCGAGCCUGAACCAGCCAAGUCGCGUGAGGGAAGACGGUCCUAUGGAUUGUAAACCUCUUUUGCCGGGGAGCAAAAGACGCCACGCGUGGCGUUCCGAGCGUACCCGAAGAACAAGCAUCGGCUAACUCCGGGCCAGCAGCCGCGGUAAUACGGAGGAUGCUAGAGUUAUCCGGAUUUAUUGGGUUUAAGGGGUGCGCAGGCGGAAGAUCAAGCCAGCGGUAAAAUUUAGAGGCUCAACCUCUUCGAGCCGUUGAAACUGGUUAUCGUGAGUGAGUGAGAAGUGAGCGGAAUGCGUGGUGUAGCGGUGAAAUGCAUAGAUAUCACGCAGAACUCCGGUUGCGAAGGCAGCAGACCGGCGCUCAACUGACGCUCAUGCACGAAAGUGUGGGUAGCGAACAGGAUUAGAUACCCUUGUAGUC
rnacentral:rRNA from 1 species